rnacentral:rRNA from 1 species
GACGAACGCUGGCGGCGUGCUUAACACAUGCAAGUCGAGCGGAAAGGCCCUUCGGGGUACUCGAGCGGCGAACGGGUGAGUAACACGUGAGUAAUCUGCCCUUCACUUCGGGAUAGCCAUUCGAAAGGGUGAUUAAUACCGGAUAUGACAUGCUCCUGCAUGGGGGUGUGUGGAAAGUUUUUUCGGUGGAGGAUGUGCUCGCGGCCUAUCAGCUUGUUGGUGGGGUAAUGGCCUACCAAGGCUUCGACGGGUAGCCGGCCUGAGAGGGUGACCGGCCACACUGGGACUGAGACACGGCCCAGACUCCUACGGGAGGCAGCAGUGGGGAAUAUUGGACAAUGGGCGGAAGCCUGAUCCAGCAACGCCGCGUGAGGGAUGACGGCCUUCGGGUUGUAAACCUCUUUCAGCACAGACGAAGUUUUGUCUUUUUGGGCAGAGUGACGGUAUGUGCAGAAGAAGGACCGGCCAACUACGUGCCAGCAGCCGCCGUAACAC